ACCGGCAGCUCAAUUUUUUUCCAUUUUUAUUUUUCCUCCCUCGUUCCUCCUCGACAUCAAAAUUCUCUAAAAAAAUCCCUCAUCUUAACUGUGGGACUUGCUGGAGAUACUAUUAGACUUGAGGUCGGGAGAGGUUAGGGGUACUCCCAGUCUAGGGGUGAAAUCCUUUUCUGAUGGAUUUUUUUUCUUUUUGUAAUGCGUUUGGCUGGAACGAACCUGACGGUGAGGAACGAAAGCCAGGGGCGCGAACCG
rnacentral:rRNA from 1 species